UACAGAGGGUGCGAGCGUUGUUCGGAAUUAUUGGGCGUAAAGGGCGCGUAGGCGGUGCGGUAAGUCACCUGUGAAAUCUCCUGGACUCAACUGGGAGCUUGCAGGCGAAACUGCCGUGCUGGAGUGUGGGAGAGGUGCGUGGAAGUUCCCGGUGUAGCGGUGAAAUGCGUAGAUAUCGGGAGGAACACCUGUGGCGAAAGCGGCUCACUGGACCACAACUGACGCUGAGGCGCGAAAGCUAGGGGAGCAAACAGGGAUUAAGAAACCCUUGGUAAGUCCAGAA
rnacentral:rRNA from 1 species